UUGUUGGUGGGGUGAUGGCCUACCAAGGCGACGACGGGUAGCCGGCCUGAGAGGGUGUCCGGCCACACUGGGACUGAGAUACGGCCCAGACUCCUACGGGAGGCAGCAGUGGGGAAUAUUGCACAAUGGGCGCAAGCCUGAUGCAGCGACGCCGCGUGAGGGAUGACGGCCUUCCGGUUGUAAACCUCUUUCGCCAGGGACGAAGCGCAAGUGACGGUACCUGGAGAAGAAGCACCGGGCAACUACGUGCCAGCAGCCGCGGUAAUACGUAGGGUGCGAGCGUUGUCCGGAAUUACUGGGCGUAAAGAGCUCGUAGGUGGUUUGUC
rnacentral:rRNA from 1 species